UAGCAUUCAACCCCCAGACAGAGAGAUACUGUCUCUACGGAUCCGCUGCAGAUCUUUUGGUUUAUCUCCGUACAGCCCGUUAAUGACAGCCACACAUGAUCCUUUUAAACCCAUGAAACUACCACGGCAGAGCUUGCUCUUCCCGCUAAUCUUAUCUUAGCUUUGCUAGACGAAGCUCUCUUUAGUCACAACGUGCUUCCUCUUUAGGUGUUCAUUCAUCACCAUAGUGGUGCCAUGGAACACGAGUUCUGCCUUGCAGAUAUUGCAUUGGACAUUUUUUCCUUCUAUUUUUCCCAAAUCGCUCAACUUCUUAUGUUUUACCAUAUUUUCAAACUCCAUUAGCGUGUUGUUAUGGUACCCAAGCCCUCCCAGAACUUCCUGUUGAGGAAGCAGAGGCUCUUUGGAGCAUGUAUGUGCACACGUAACACCCUAUUCAAUCAUCAAAACUGACUGGAGACUGUUUUUAGGGAUCUUCAUCCGAAUUCUUUUUACAUAGACAUUUUUGAGAAGGAAGCUGUAAUCACAGACUAUCACAGGCUAUAAUGUGUUGAGUCACCUGCUGUCACUGUCACCUACCGUUCAUAAACAUGGUUGCUCUAAAUAAAUGAUUGUCUUUUUAUUAGAAAUCCUUUGUUUAGAUAGUUUGUUGGGGGCAGCUGGGUUUUUUUUUUUUAACCUUAACUGGGGGGCAAAAAAAGGAGAGAACAGUUGAUGGAGAAUAAGGUGACAUCUUGUCUGUUGAGUUUAGUCUUUUUCUAUGUUGACAUCUAUCACUUUCUUUUGUUUCAAUAUAUUUAGCCAAAACUAACAAUGCUCUUGUUGUUGGUUAUACUACUGGAGUUUCUAAUCUUCUAAGCCUUUAUUUUUCUCUACUCUUUGUUGGACAGCUCUGAUCUCAUUCCUGGAUUAGCUUUUAAGUCCCGCUGCUCUUGUUCCACAGGGAGAAGUGGGUCAAUGGGUAAGUGGGGCAUUAACCGGCGUGAAGCUUGUACCUUUACGGAUGCAACUUCAGUAAUCAGGUCUGUCUGAUGAGACUGUCCCACUCUGCUGCUGCAGGUCUGCCAGAGAGCCACAAUAGACCAGACCAGAGCUUCGGUUGCAGACACCUUGUCAAGAUAAUUUCCAAAAGACCAGAUUGGGGCAUCAAAGAAGUCAAACUCCUCAGUUGUUUGCAUUAGAUCAGCCCUGCUACCAAGGAAUAAAACAAGUGUUGGAAGGUGAAACAAGGAGUUUCGUGGAGUGUUUCGCCUCCAACUGUACUCUCCUAAUCUCCUCUGCGAACCCCAGAUAGCUCCCUGCUCCCUGGCUGCCUGAAAGUUUGAACCAUGGCAGAACCAGAUUUCAUGGAGCAUGACCCCCCCAAGGAAUGGAAACCAUCCAAUCGAUGCAGCAGAAAGUCUGGCUGCUCUAAUAUCUUCUCAGGAGUGAAUCUGCAUCAGUUGCAAAGGUUGUUCAGGGCCGGGGGGAACAAAGAUGCUGAACAGCUGGCCAGGCUGGUGUGGAGAGAAGUGGAGAAGGAGGAAGUGGGGGACGAAGCAGGUCUGGCCCAGGCCUUGGUCGGUUUGAGGGUUCGAGCGAGGAGCAAGGCGGGGACUCGAACAGAGAGGCACAGGGAACAUCAUGGGGUUCGAGCUUCAGGAUAUCUCAGGACUGAGGAGCCACUGCCUGUCUGCACUGCAAAGGAAGAGGAGGCUGCUCUUCAACCCAGCCUGACAGAGCUUCAGACUGAGAACAAUGGUCCAGAGAAUCGAAAUCAUUCAAAAUCAUGGAGGCUGGAUGCUGCCAGAGACCCUGAACGCUACCUUCACCGCACCCUCCACUAAGAACUGUGCUUGCUUCCCAGUUUACAGGGACUACCCUCAAACUGGAGGUCAGCACCACCAACCUGUAGACUUUAAAAUUGGGAAAGUUGUUUUUGGUACCGGUUCCAUGCCGGAUGUCUUCCACAACUGUGGUGUCUUUCUCAGCUCAGUUCAUCAGUGUAUACUCCAAGCAUUUGAUGCCAUCUGGGUGUACCACCUUCCUUCCCUUUGGUAUUGCUGUGUUCCUUGCUCACCUGGGCUUUCAUGAGGAAUAGUGUGAAGCAUGUUUAUAGGUAGAAGUGGGUGCGAUGCCACAAAAAUGGCUUUUUAGAAUCAAAUUCUUUAAAAAAAACAGUUGUAGGGUGACGCAGCAAUUGUGAUAACAGGCAAGAAUUCCCUCGGCAGAUAGAACAGUCUCAUGCUAAUGGCUACUGGUUCGAUUUUCUUGCCAUAGAUUUGUGCUUUAAAAGUGACUGUAUUUAUACCGUCUGUUAUCUACAAAAACUGGCAGUGCUCCUCCCUUUCUCUCAUUGCUUUCAGUAGUUCUGUCUGCUUGUAUUAGUUUAAA